UACGUAGGUGGCGAGCGUUAUCCGGAAUUACUGGGCAUAAAGCGUGCGCAGGCGGUUUUGUAAGACCGAUGUGAAAUCCCCGGGCUUAACCUGGGAACUGCAUUGGUGACUGCAAGGCUCGAGUGUGUCAGAGGGAGGUGGAAUUCCGCGUGUAGCAGUGAAAUGCGUAGAUAUGCGGAGGAACACCGAUGGCGAAGGCAGCCUCCUGGGAUAACACUGACGCUCAUGCACGAAAGCGUGGGGAGCAAACAGGA
rnacentral:rRNA from 1 species